ACCCGCGGCCAGCAACCUGGAGACGCCGCUCUUUUUUGGGUGCGGGGAGUUCCGGAGGCUGUGGGGCGGAGAAGCGAAAUGCCACCCUCUCUCGAGCUCUGAAGCAAAUGACGAUACGGAGCGCUCUCGCCCCCUCCCAACACAGUGGGAGCCCUUGAUUCGAUCCCGAAGGAGGCGAGCGAGCAAGAGCCUGGAUCUACAUGGCUCGCGUGUCCCUUCCGCUUUCCGCACCCCCACGCAGACCUCGCCGAGGCUACGCGGCGCUCCGGGAGCUGUUCCGAGCUCCGAGUGGGGCAGGGAGUUGAAGUUUUCUUGCCAUCAGAUUAUUUUGAAAUACUGAGAAUGCGGCUUGUGGGAAACCAAAAGCUCCGUGGGCUCAUGGACGUGUCUGCCAACUUGGGGCUAAGUGUCAUGAAUCUGAGAAGCAAGUUGCAUGCCCACCUCCCACCUACGUCACUCCUCCCGAAGCCUCUUUUUCCGGCCUAAUGCCUCCACUGGGCCACUUGCAAGUCUUGCCACUGCUUAGGGAAAGGGUCUGCACCCGGGCGCAGGGCAGCAAAGGCCGGGGGCGGCGUGCGCGGUGCACGGCGAGUGCGGCUCCAGCUGCGCCCGCAGAGGCGCUGCACCUUGGCGCCUGCAGCAGGAGAGCAGCCAGCCAGCAGCUCCGGUACUUCGACUGCUGCCGAGUCUCCAAGGAGGCUGCAAGAACCCAGAGUCGCAGCCGAUUGGUUCCCUAGCUGCACUGGGACCACCCCUUCGCACCACCGCGACCGCGAUGCCUCCCGCCUCCGCUACCCACCUCUUUAAUCAAAGCCAAAGAUUGCAUCCUCCCCGCUCUAUUGUGGCUAGAGGGAAGCGGGGGCCUCUGCGGGGUUGCCCAGGCAGCGCAACAAUCCUGGGUACAGAACUAGCUAAGUCCCUCCUCCAGAUUGCGACUCCCGCAUUUCUUUCAGAAAAAAAUAAUAAUAAGUAUUUGUUCCCUCCACUCCUUCGGAGCCAUAUCCCAGCUUUUCUUUUUACAAACAAUGAGUUACCUAAAACUCCUCCUUCCCCUAGGAAGGACUGCCCUUUCCCCACCUUCCACACACAUAUUCCUGGAUCCCACUUACUCCAUGCUCCCUUACCUUCCUAGCCUACGGCUUUAUUGAAGAAAAAAGAAGCUAAGAAAGAAAAGAAAUAAGAAGCUUUGCAUUGAAAUACUGUCAAGGCCCUUGUUUUGGUUGCUGCUGCUCCCCAGGCUAUGCUGCUGCUAUAGCUCUAACCCCAAAUCGCUCUGCGGCCAGACGGGAUAAAUAUUUUCUGACAUGUCCCAGCAAUAUUGGGCUUCCAAACCUGCUACUGUCCCUCCCUUUGCCCCCUUCCUUCUUUUAAAUGUUUCUAAAACUGUCAUCUCCCUAGCUUCACAUGAGUGCGCUUGCCCCCAAUUCAGUAUUGGGAGGUCACCUUACAGAAGAGAUUUAGAGACUGGAUGAGAUCCCAGGUUCCUCAAUUCAACGUUUUAUUAAGAGGGCAUAGUAAGAUCAGGAAGUUUUCAACAUCCCUGGAGGAUGUCUUUAGAACAGGACUGGACCUCCAAGGAAUUGGAAGAGAGUCGCUGAGCUGAGCUAGGAAUUCAUCAUUCUUGAUGCAAGUGAGAGUCUGGAGGUAUUUAUUCGUUCAACAACUUGCUUAGUUCCAGGAGUUCCCAUUGUGGCUCCGUGGGUUAAGAACACGAUGCAAUGUCCCUGAGGACACGGGUUCCAUCCCUGGCUUCAAUCAGUGGGUUAAGGAUCCAGCAUUGCUGCAAGCUGCAGUGUAAGUCACAGAUGCAGCCUGGAUCCAGUGUGGCUGUGGCUGUGGCCUAGGCUCCAGCUGCAGCUCGGAUUUGACCCCUGGCCCCUGGCAUAUAGAAACUUCUACAUGCUGCAGGCGCAGCCGUAAAAAGAAAAAAUGAAAACACUUUGCUUAAUUCCAGGUAUGUGUCAGACAAGUCCUCACACUGGAGACACAGUAAUAACUAAGACAUGAGAUCUCAGACCUCUCGAGCCCACAUUCUUGUGGGAGAGACAAGGAAUUGGACUAUACCUUAUAAUGUUAGGGGAAAAAAACUUUUAAGGAGAUAGAGAGUGAUAAAUAUAGAUUUGCAUGGAUAAGAAGGGCCUCCCUGCAGAGGUAACAUUUGAGCAAAGGACUUCAAGAAGAAAGAGAUCAAAGAACAGGAAUGUCAGGAGGAUGGAAGAGCAAAUGCAAACAUUCUAAGGCAAAGACAAGCUCAGCAUAUUUGGGAAACAAAAGAGGGCUGGAAAGAAGUGAGCAAGGAAGAGGGAUGGAGAAAGUGGGUCAGAAAAGUGGGCAGGCAGAUCAUGCAGGGCCUCUUAAGCCACUCUACAAAUAUUUCGUUUGCUUCUGAGUGCAAGAGGAAGAUAUUGGAGAACUUGCAUCCCUGCAGUAACAUAAUAUGAUUUGCCGUUUUUAAUGGUUAUUCUGGCGGCUAGAAACAGAGUGUGAGAGCUGGAGGUUAUCAAGUAACACAAGCAAAGAUGGUUUAAACAAGGAAGAUAGUGGUGGGCAUAGGAUUACAUUGUGAAAACUGAGAUGAGGAGUUCCCUCUGUGGCGCAAUGGAAUUGGAGGUGUCUCUGCAGCGCCAGGACUCAGGUUCAAUCCCUGGUUCCAGUGGGCUAAAGGAUCCAGCAUUGCCACAGCAGAGGCAUACAGCUGUGGCUGGGAUCUGACCCCUGGCCUGGGACCUCCAUUUGCCACUGGGUGGCCAAAAAAAACCAAAGAUGACAGGAUUUUGGAUGUGGGGGAAGGACACAUGUCAAGAAUGUCUCCUAGGUCCAAAGUCUUAGCAACUAGGUGGAUGGUGACGUCAUUUACUGGAGGAGUGUGCUGGACAGCACCUGUCCCACUGGAUUGUGAGCCACACAAAGUCUGGGACCGUGUGUGUCUUAGUUACUACUGUCCUGGGCUAUGGAGGCCUUUCCUCAGAAUCUCCUUGCUUCUCCAUUCUUUCCUCAGGCCACUUGCCCUGUCUCAGCUGCUGCUGAAACAGCCAGCUCUGUGAAGGCAGCAGAGUUCUGCCUAAUGAGGUUGCAAUGCAUUCCAGUGCAACGCGUGGAAACUGGAUUCCUCAAGAUGGCAAAAAGGUCCAAGUGACCAGCACAGCCACAUGGAGGCAUCAACUCAGUGGACCAUUGAGAGUUGCCUGGUAGGAGAUAUGGGGUAGGAUGGAGCCUGGAGAUAAAUUCUCUCUCUUCAGUCUUUUCAAGGACAAGUAACCACAUGGUCUAGUGACAAGGCUGCAUCUCCUUGUGGUUCAUGAAGUAGUGGCCAGCUUGUAACUAACUACGUUGGUUUUUUUUUUUUUUUUUUUUUGUCUUUUUGCCAUUUCUUGGGCCACUCCCGCGGCAUAUGAAGGUUGCCAGGCUAGGGGUUGAAUUGGAGCUGUAGCAGCCUGCCUACGCCAGAGUCACAGCAACGUGGGAUCCGAGCCACAUCUGCAACCUACACCACAGCUCACAGCAACGCUGGAUCCUUAACCCACUGAGCAAGGCCUGGGAUCGAACCCGCAACCUCAUGGUUCCUAGUUGGAUUUGUUAACCACUGCGCCACCACGGGAACUCCUCACCACGUUGUUUUUGCACCCUUUCUUCCCCUUUUCCCUUCUUCUCCCUGCCCAGGAUCACACCUUCCAUUAACAUAUUGUCUCAGGUUCUGUUUUCUAGGGAACCUGGGCUGAGGUAGGCAUCCAGCCUUCAGUCCGAGACCUGUUAAGUUUGAGCAAGCUGUUAAAUAGCCAGUGCAGAUGCUGAGUGGGAAACUGGACAUGCAAGUCAGUCUAUACAGUUCAGAGGAGAGAUCUAGGUAGAUCCGGGUUUUUCAGCCUUGGCACUUGGUCUGGGUGCUUUUUGGUUGUGGAUAGCAUUUUUGUUUUGUUACUCUGCAUUUUUGGAGGUUCCGCAGCAUUCCUGCCUUCUACCUGCCAGCUGCCAGUGGCACCUGCUCCCAGUUAUGACAUGUCUCCAGACAUUGCCAAAGUUUCCCUGAGUUGGGGGGGGGGCAAAAAUCACCCCCUUUGGGAACCACUGGGGUGGAUAGUAGUUAAAGCCAGAAUCCUGGACUAGCACACUGGGACAUGAAGGCAGAAAGAGAAGAGGCAGUGUUCAGAGACUGCACCUCAGGAUGCCCUAAUUCUUCGAGGUCAAAGAAGGAAGUACCUGCAAGGGAGAUGGAGAAAGAGUGACUGGUAAGGUCAGCAACGGGAGAGCGCGCGGGGGGGUGGGGUCUGUGAAAGCAAAGGAGUACAGUGUUCCAAGAAGGAGAGGGAAGGAUUGAUUUUGUUAAACUCUGCAAAUAGAUUGAAUAGAAUGAGGACAUUAGAACCAACUACUGGGUUUAGAAAAACGGAGUUGAGGAGAUAGAAAGCCCCUUCUCUUUCGGUCAUCUUGGAGCCUGUUGAGGCCUGCAGGGAAGAAGGCUUCAAAAACAACAAAUACGAUGGGAAGGUUGUGGUCCAAAGUCUUUUAUUCUGGUUAUAAGUGGGGUCUCCGGAAGCAGAGGAAGCACACGGCUCUUCUUAAAAUUGAAGGUGUUUAUGCCUGAGAUGAAACUGAAUUUUAUCUAGGCAAGAGAUGUGCUUAUGUGUACAAAGCAAAGAAUAACACAGUGACGCCUGGAAGAAAAUCUAACAAAACCAGAGUAACCUGGGGAAAGGUAACGCGUGCUCAUGGCCCCAGUGGCAUGGAUCGGGCCAAAUUCCAAAGCAACCUUCCAGCUAAGGCCAUUGGACACAGAAUCCAUGUGAUGCUGUACCCGUCAAGGAUUUAAACUUAUUGAAAAAUAAAUAAAUAAAAG
rnacentral:lncRNA from 1 species